CCUACGGGUGGCAGCAGUAGGGAAUAUUGCUCAAUGGGGGAAACCCUGAAGCAGCAACGCCGCGUGGAGGAUGAAGGUUUUCGGAUUGUAAACUUCUUUUGUUAGAGAAGAUAAUGACGGUAUCUCACGAAUAAGCACCAGCUAACUCCGUGCCAGCAGCCGCGGUAAUACGGAGGGUACAAGCGUUAUUCGGAGUCAUUGGGCGUAAAGAGCGCGUAGGCGGGAUAGCAAGUCAGAUGUGAAAGCCUAUGGCUUAACCAUAGAACUGCAUUUGAAACUGUUAUUCUAGAGUAUGGGAGAGGUAGGUGGAAUUCUUGGUGUAGGGGUAAAAUGCGUAGAGAUCAGGAGGAAUACUCAUUGCGAAGGCGACCUGCUAGAACAUAACUGACGCUGAUGCGCGAAAGCGUGGGGAGCAAACAGGAUUAGAUACCCUAGUAGUC
rnacentral:rRNA from 1 species